rnacentral:misc_RNA from 1 species
AUCUUAAUUUAUUCUAAAUGCUCUAUUAUUAUAGAUUAGCCAUCUCAAUACUCUUAAUUUCCUCUUUGUUUGCUUUUAGUUCAUGGGGUUGCUUUAUAUAUAUAUUUAUAAAGAAGACAGUCAUUCACUAUGCAUAAAUAUAAAUGCUACAUGUUGUAGGAAUUAACAAAUUUACCUUACAAGCUUAUUUUCAACCCUUAACAGUUCCACUAAAG